UGGCGCAUCAUGAAAUUGCAGUCACCAAAGUAUUCUGUAACUCGGCUUCUGCAGCUGAGAGUCAAGCAGCGAAUUGCUGCCUUUUUAAUAUCUUACCAGUAAAAUAGGGGAACCGCCCCUACUAUUUUUUUGUGGUCCUGAUGUGUCGGUAACUGGUGGUCCUUGUAAUAUCAGUGCUGCAAACUGCUGUAAAGCUGAAGUACUCAAACUUCUGGGCAGUGCUGUUAUUCUAACAAAUACUGAUGAUUGGAAAAUGGAAAAAGCGUUAUUGGAAAAAGUUUAGGAAGAAGUCUGGAAAUGAAAAUUCAGCUAGUUAAAGUGCAUAUGAAUUCUGCAUUCAUAUUCCCUAUAUGAACACACACAGAAGAAACAAAGAAGUGUUCUGUUUUGCUUGGUUUAUGCAGUGGUUAAUUACUUUAAAGGCAAAACGGGAAGUGCAUUUUGGAAGAAGAUUUCUUAUCAUGUCCAUGAAGAGUAGAAACCAAAAUUAUAUGCAGUACUGGAUGCCUGGUACUGGUGUCUCUUGAAAUCAAGCUGCUCUGUGUGCUGGGAAGUGGACAACGGAUGGGAGUAACCAUUGAGAGAGAGGACCUAUACUAGCUCAUUUUUUUUUAGAUGCUGAACCACUGAAACCAGUGAUGUUUGGAUUUUUUUCAUUAAAUAAAAGUAUUACGGUUAACCAAACAAGAUUUUGGGUUAAACAUUGACUCUGCAUAUUGACAAAGCAUGCUGAAAGCAGUUUGUGUAGUCUUAAUGCUCACAAACAACAAAUUAUUUUCCCCUAAGAACCUGUUACAGUCAUGCCUCUUCCAACUAUGAAACUUUCCUUAGAGUGUUACGACCGCCACUUACUGAUGGUUUUAGAGAUGCAAUUCAGGGACUCUGUGCUAUCUGCUGAUGCUGUUGCCCCAUUGCAGUUGCAAGAUGACAUCCCUUCCUUUCCAAGAAAUGCCAUCGCUUGUCAGACAGCUUUCUUUUUUUCUAAUGCAAAAAAGGGCAUCUCAGUAACUACUGUGCAUAAAAGCCUCAAUAAAACGAAGCAUCGCACACUUACAAGGGGCCCCCUUUUGUCAGAUACCACUCCUCAGGAGACUUGGGUGCAGAUCAUUUCUUCCUCACUCUCCAUCUUUGUCUCUAUCUCUUCAUGGCCUUUCACUGUCAUGUUGGCAGUGGUAGUUGAUGCAGUGAAUAACACUGACUGGUUGGCAUGCACCAUUUCGUUCUGCAGAUCUCACCCCAACCAUGAAAUCUCGGCAUUGUCUGUUCCUAAGGCAUGAAAAUGGCAAGGCAGUCGUACCAGGAGCAGAAAGUUUUGAUAGUUUCUCCACAUGUUGUCAAUUGGUCAUGUAUUAAACACAAGGAACCUAAUGUCUAUACCUGAGUUCCAAAGAACAAGUCUGCAGAAUAUCUGAAAACUUAAUAUCCAGGUAAUCCAGGAAAAUUACAGUAUUUUUUUGGAGCUACUCCAGAGUCUGGUGAUGGAUUGCCUUACAGAAUCUCUUGGCAAUACUUGAUGUUGUCAGCUACCCUCAAUAGCAUCAAGAGGCUGAGAGAAGUUUUUUUUGCAUCUUUUCUUCUUUGUUUCAACAGCCACAGGAGAUGUAGGAGGAAGUGUUUGAUUUUUGUAUUUUGUAAUGGGAAGCCCUUAAAAUGAAUUUCAGACUUCAAAUCCAUCUUGAACUUCUAAAAAGGAGAUCAGAUUUUCUUAUUUUCCUUUGGUUAUAUCUUCUAGCAGUUUUGACUUUUUCCAGGGAAUAAUGUUACCUGGUCACAGCUGUUUACUUGACUCUGUGAACUGAACUGUAAUUUUAAUGUCUCUUUCCAAAUCAUUUGUACAUGUGAAAUCAUUCCAUGAAUGGCUGCCUUAUUUUUUUUUGUUAAAUUGUUUUAUUUUUUUUCCACUUUAAUUGUGAAUGGUUAAAAAUGUUGUUGUUUUUUUGAUUUUAUUAUAUUAAAUUUUUAUUAGUUGCAGUGCUUCUGAGUUGGCUUCUUAUUUACUGCAUGGGAUUUUCUUAGAGCUGGCUGCUUCAGAUGGGGUGCUGCUGCUGCUGACGAGUGCAUUUUACUUACAGAAUUUUUUGGUGCCUGUUGAUGCUUAGAAUGUGUGGCUUGUUCACUGAUGUUCAAACUGGGAGAGCAGGCUGAUGAGAGGCAGACCAGAUUUGGGUGCAAAGAUGUAUGUUAAGUGUAAACAAGGGCAUAAUUUGAGAGCUGUUUGUCAAAGAAAACUGUCCUCAAUCACCAUCUCUCCCUGCUCUCCUCAGCCCUGCUGAGGGU
rnacentral:lncRNA from 1 species